rnacentral:rRNA from 1 species
GACGAACGCUGGCGGCGUGCUUAACACAUGCAAGUCGAACGGAAAGGCCUCUUUCGGGGGGUACUCGAGUGGCGAACGGGUGAGUAACACGUGAGUAACCUGCCCUUGACUUUGGGAUAACUUCAGGAAACUGGGGCUAAUACCGGAUAGGAGCUCCUGCUGCAUGGUGGGGGUUGGAAAGUUUCGGCGGUUGGGGAUGGACUCGCGGCUUAUCAGCUUGUUGGUGGGGUAGUGGCUUACCAAGGCUUUGACGGGUAGCCGGCCUGAGAGGGUGACCGGCCACAUUGGGACUGAGGUACGGCCCAGACUCCUACGGGAGGCAGCAGUGGGGAAUAUUGCACAAUGGGUGGAAGCCUGAUGCAGCAACGCCGUGUGCGGGAUAACGGCCUUCGGGUUGUAAACCGCUUUCGCUCAUGACGAAGCUUUGUGUGACGGUAGUGGGUAAAGAAGCACCGGCUAACUACGUG